rnacentral:lncRNA from 1 species
AAAAUAAAAGAAAGAAAAAAAGAAACAAAAGAAGAACAGAAACAGAGAAUGAAACGAAAACAGGGGAAGAAAAAGGGAAAGAAAAGAAAAGGGGAAAAUUGGGAUUUUAAAGCUUCAAGUUUAAUUGGUAAGCUAAAUUUAGCCUUUUUCUCUUAAUUUUGAUGUUUUAGAAGCUUUAAAAUAAAGUUUUGUUGAAAUUAAGUGGAGGUUAUGGAAGUUCAUAGGUUUUUGAACAUGAUUCAUGUUGAACAAGUUGUUAAAUAGGGGUUUAGUUGAUAGAAUUUCUAGUUAGAAUCAAUAAAAGGAUUAAAUUGUAAACUAGGCUAUAAGUUUUACAUAGUUGGGAUUAAGUUAUAAGAAGUCUUAAAUUAGGGUUUAAUUAUGAAUAUUGAAUAGUUGAGUUAAAUAUGGCAAAUAAUUAAGUAGAAAAGAAAUAUGAAUUAAGCUAGAAAAGUAAGUAAGCUUAGUUAGAAUUAAAUUGGGAAUAAGUAGGAAUUGAAUAAAAUUUAAUUAUUAUUAUUUUUUUAUAAUUUAAUGCUGUAAUUAAUAGUGAAAAUAAUUAUUAUUUUCGUAGCUAACAAAGAACUCGAGGCAUCGACAUCGAAAGGAAAGGAGAAAGCUAUCGAGGACUAAAACGACAGAUUUACGGUUUGUAUUACUAUAAUUCAAAUUAUUUAUUAUUUAAUGCUAUAUUUAAAUUUAUAUGUAUGAUAAGUGAAAUAUAAGGUAAGUAUUAUUAUUAAGUUGAAAGAAAUUCAAUUGAAUGAUGAAUAUAUGUGUGGAAUUGAAAUGAAUAUUGACUUGAAAAUGGAAAAGUGAAUUUUGAAUUAAAUUGUGAUUGAAAGUGAAAAAGUAAAAUUGAAUUGAAAUGUGAAUUUGGAGACCCUAUUAACUAGUCGGGCUGAGUCGGAUAUAGUUGGCUUGCCAUAGGAUUGAAAGAGUUCAGGGAUACUUCGACCUCGAGUCGAUGAGACACUGGGUGUCACUAUAUUUCUUCGGAUAGAUUCGAUGAGGUACUGGGUACCAACUUUCUUUGGCUUCGCCGAUGAGACACUGGGUGUCAACUAUUGCUUCGAACUAUCCGAUGAGGUACUGGGUGCCAUACUGUAGCGUUUGGUUGGAUCCGUCAAAGUCCAAGUUUUGUUAAUAGGGUAAAUAAUGAAAUGAUAAACUGAAUGAGUUGAUCAAUCGAGCUAUUGAAAUGAAACUAAUAGUUGAAUUGUGAAUUGAAAUGUGAUAUGAGAUUGAGAAAUGAAUCUAAGGUUCAUGAUGUGUCCAAGUUCCAAAUUGUGGAUAUAUGAUAUUAAUUGAUGAAUUGUUAUUGUAGAAAUAUGAAAUUUGAGUUUAAAUUUGUAUGUAUGAUUUUAUGCAUUACAUGUUUAUUAAUAUUAUAAUUUGAAUUAUGGUAAUACUUCUGAGUAUGAAAUACUUAGCGUACAGUUGUUUCCGUGCGCAGGUCAUUAGAGUUCAAGGUCUAGUUCAGCAUCCAGAAAGAUCCCGACUCCAUCAAGAAAAUUUUGGUGAUGUAUUUCUUCUUUUUGCUUAAGUGGCAUGUACUAGGUGAUUGUACACGAGUCGUAUACAUAUAUAUAUGUUAAAUGAUCUUG